rnacentral:rRNA from 1 species
UGGGGAAUCUUGCGCAAUGGGCGAAAGCCUGACGCAGCGACGCCGCGUGAGGGAAGAAGGCCUUCGGGUUGUAAACCUCUUUCAGGAGGGACGAAGCCACUCGGGUUAAUAGCCCAGAGGGUGACGGUACCUCCAGAAGAAGCCCCGGCUAACUACGUGCCAGCAGCCGCGGUAAUACGUAGGGGGCAAGCGUUGUCCGGAUUUAUUGGGCGUAAAGAGCGUGUAGGCGGCCAGGUAGGUCAGCUGUGAAAACUCGAGGCUCAACCUCGAGCUGUCGGCGGAAACCAUCUGGCUAGAGUCCGGAAGAGGAGAAUGGAAUUCCCGGUGUAGCGGUGAAAUGCGCAGAUAUCGGGAAGAACACCCGUGGCGAAGGCGGUUCUCUGGGACGGUACUGACGCUGAGACGCGAAAGCGUGGGGAGCGAACAGGAUUAGAUACCCCCGUAGUCC